rnacentral:rRNA from 1 species
AUUGAACGCUGGCGGCAUGCUUUACACAUGCAAGUCGAACGGUAACAGGUCUUCGGAUGCUGACGAGUGGCGAACGGGUGAGUAAUACAUCGGAACGUGCCUAGUAGUGGGGGAUAACUACUCGAAAGAGUAGCUAAUACCGCAUGAGAUCUACGGAUGAAAGCAGGGGACCUUCGGGCCUUGUGCUACUAGAGCGGCUGAUGGCAGAUUAGGUAGUUGGUGGGGUAAAGGCUUACCAAGCCUGCGAUCUGUAGCUGGUCUGAGAGGACGACCAGCCACACUGGGACUGAGACACGGCCCAGACUCCUACGGGAGGCAGCAGUGGGGAAUUUUGGACAAUGGGCGAAAGCCUGAUCCAGCAAUGCCGCGUGCAGGAUGAAGGCCCUCGGGUUGUAAACUGCUUUUGUACGGAACGAAAAGCCUGGGGCUAAUAUCCCCGGGUCAUGACGGUACCGUAAGAAUAAGCACCGGCUAACUACGUGCCAGCAGCCGCGGUAAUACGUAGGGUGCAAGCGUUAAUCGGAAUUACUGGGCGUAAAGCGUGCGCAGGCGGUUUUGUAAGACAGUGGUGAAAUCCCCGGGCUCAACCUGGGAACUGCCAUUGUGACUGCAAGGCUAGAG